CAGAGUAUAGCUAAGUUAGGAAGGCACCUCCCUUACACCGAGGAGACACUCGUGCAAAUCGAGUUAUUCUGA
rnacentral:tRNA from 1 species